rnacentral:rRNA from 1 species
GAGUUUGAUCGUGGCUCAGGAUGAACGCUAGCGGCAGGCUUAACACAUGCAAGUCGAGGGGUAUAGGUUUUCGGACCUAGAGACCGGCGCACGGGUGCGUAACGCGUAUGCAAUCUACCUUUUACAGAGGGAUAGCCCAGAGAAAUUUGGAUUAAUACCUCAUAGUAUUAUGAUAAGGCAUCUUAUUAUAAUUAAAGUUUCAACGGUAAAGAUGAGCAUGCGUCCUAUUAGCUAGAUGGUAAGGUAACGGCUUACCAUGGCGACGAUGGGUAGGGGUCCUGAGAGGGAGAUCCCCCACACUGGUACUGAGACACGGACCAGACUCCUACGGGAGGCAGCAGUGAGGAAUAUUGGUCAAUGGGCGCAAGCCUGAACCAGCCAUGCCGCGUGCAGGAUGACGGUCCUAUGGAUUGUAAACUGCUUUUGUACAGGAAGAAACAGUUCUACGUGUAGAACCUUGACGGUACUGUAAGAAUAAGGAUCGGCUAACUCCGUGCCAGCCGCCGCCGUAAC